AUACGGAGGGUGCGAGCGUUAAUCGGAAUUACUGGGCGUAAAGCGCGCGUAGGCGGUUUGAUAAGUCUGAUGUGAAAGCCCUGGGCUUAACCUGGGAAUGGCAUUGGAUACUGUUUGACUAGAGUGCAGGAGAGGAGAGUGGAAUUCUCGGUGUAGCGGUGAAAUGCGUAGAUAUCAGGAGGAACACCAGUGGCGAAGGCGGCUCUCUGGACUGACACUGACGCUGAGGUGCGAAAGCGCGGGUAGCAAACAGGAUUAGAAACCCCAGUAGUCC
rnacentral:rRNA from 1 species